UAGUGCGCAUGCUUGAGCCCACUUACCUAACACCUGAGAUCUUAUUGGGACGCUGCUGAUAACCAGUUUCAGAGACAGGGUUUCACCAUGUUGUACAGGCUAGUCUCCAACCCCUGGGCUUAAGCAGUCCUUCUGCCUCAGGCUCCCAAAGUGCUGGGAUUACAGAGAUGCUCAAGCACUGAAUUGUCUUAAGAAAACAAGUAAGGUUUUGUCACCUAUCCUAUUUCUCACUGCAAGCUGAAAAAAAUCAAAUCCAAACACCACCACCCCUUCUAUGACAACAAACGGCUGUGGAGGUAAUCUUAUUUUUUUAAGGGUAGUUUCAUGAUGACAGUUUCAAAAAAUUACCGUGGAUAAAGAAAAAAUUGUCUCAAUGAAAUAGAAUUUUUCACUGAACACAGAAACCAUCUCAAUAGUUGCUGCUCCCUGGUUUCUAGGCCAUGCAACAGACAUCAAACUAGGAAGCCAAACUUUCACGGACCUGUGUUAAGAAAAACACACAUAUAUGGGCAUACUACUUUUUUUUUCAGAAAAACAGA
rnacentral:antisense_RNA from 1 species